GGCCGAUUGUGAUGAUCUCUAUAAAUGGGAAUCUCUCUGAUGUAAAUAAUGAGGAUGAAAAAAAUCUGAAUUGGCC